GGGGAAUUUUCCGCAAUGGGCGAAAGCCUGACGGAGCAAUACCGCGUGAGGGAAGACUGCCUAUGGGUUGUAAACCUCUUUUUUCAGGGAGGAACAAAAUGACGUGUACCUGAAGAAUAAGCAUCGGCUAACUCCGUGCCAGCAGCCGCGGUAAGACGGAGGAUGCAAGUGUUAUCCGGAAUCACUGGGCGUAAAGCGUCUGUAGGUGGUUUAAUAAGUCAACUGUUAAAUCUUGAGGCUCAACUUCAAAAUCGCAGUCGAAACUAUUAGACUAGAGUAUAGUAGAGGUAAAGGGAAUUUCCAGUGGAGCGGUGAAAUGCGUAGAUAUUGGAAAGAACACCGAUGGCGAAAGCACUUUACUGGGCUAUUACUAACACUCAGAGACGAAAGCUAGGGUAGCAAAAGGGAUUAGAUACCCCUGUAGUC
rnacentral:rRNA from 1 species